rnacentral:rRNA from 1 species
UGGGGAAUUUUGCACAAUGGGGGAAACCCUGAUGCAGCGACGCCGCGUGAUUUAGAAGGCCUUCGGGUUGUAAAAAUCUUUUCUAUGGGAAGAAAAUGACAGUACCAUAGGAAUAAGGACCGGCUAAUUACGUGCCAGCAGCCGCGGUAAUACGUAAGGUCCGAGCGUUGUCCGGAAUCAUUGGGCGUAAAGGGUACGUAGGCGGGUAAGCAAGUUAGAAGUGAAAUCCUAUAGCUCAACUAUAGUAAGCUUUUAAAACUGAUCAUCUUGAGGUAUGGAAGGGAGAGUGGAAUUCCUAGUGUAGCGGUGAAAUGCGCAGAUAUUAGGAGGAAUACCGGUGGCGAAGGCGACUUUCUGGCCAUAACCUGACGCUGAGGUACGAAAGCGUGGGUAGCAAACAGG